GACGUAGGAGGCGAGCGUUAUCCGGAUUCACUGGGCGUAAAGCGCGUGUAGGCGGUUGCACAAGUCCGUUGUUAAAGCCCCUGGCUCAACUGGGGGAGGUCAAUGGAGACUGUGCGACUUGAGGGCAAUAGAGGCACGUGGAACUCCCGGUGUAGCGGUGGAAUGCGUAGAGAUCGGGAAGAACACCAGUGGCGAAGGCGACGUGCUGGGUUGCACCUGACGCUGAGAUGCGAAAGUGUGGGGAGCAAACGGG
rnacentral:rRNA from 1 species